UACGUAGGGUGCGAGCGUUGUCCGGAAUUAUUGGGCGUAAAGAGCUCGUAGGUGGUUUGUCGCGUUGUUCGUGAAAACUCACAGCUCAACUGUGGGCGUGCGGGCGAUACGGGCAGACUUGAGUACUGCAGGGGAGACUGGAAUUCCUGGUGUAGCGGUGAAAUGCGCAGAUAUCAGGAAGAACACCCGUGGCUAAGGCGGCUCUCUAGUACGGUACUGACGCUGAGACGCGAAAGCGUGGGGAGCGAACAGG
rnacentral:rRNA from 1 species